UACGUAGGGAGCAAGCGUUGUCCGGAAUCAUUGGGCGUAAAGCGCGCGUAGGUGGCCCCGUAAGUCCGCUGUGAAAGUCAAAGGCUCAACCUUUGAAAGCCGGUGGAUACUGUGGGACUAGAGUACGGAAGAGGCGAGUGGAAUUCCUGGUGUAGCGGUGAAAUGCGUAGAGAUCGGAAAGAACACCAACGGCGAAAGCACUCUGCUGGGCCGACACUGACACUGAGAGACGAAAGCUAGGGGAGCGAAUGGG
rnacentral:rRNA from 1 species